rnacentral:rRNA from 1 species
AACGAACGCUGGCGGCAGGCUUAACACAUGCAAGUCGAACGCAUCCUUCGGGGUGAGUGGCAGACGGGUGAGUAACGCGUGGGAACGUGCCCUUCAGUUCGGGAUAACCCAGGGAAACUAGGGCUAAUACCGGAUACGCCCUUUUGGGGAAAGGUUUACUGCCGGAAGAUCGGCCCGCGUCUGAUUAGCUCGUUGGUGGGGUAACGGCCUACCAAGGCGACGAGCAGUAGCUGGUCUGAGAGGAUGAUCAGCCACACUGGGACUGAGACACGGCCCAGACUCCUACGGGAGGCAGCAGUGGGGAAUAUUGGACAAUGGGCGCAAGCCUGAUCCAGCCAUGCCGCGUGAGUGAUGAAGGCCUUAGGGUUGUAAAGCUCUUUUAUCCGGGACGAUAAUGACGGUACCGGAGGAAUAAGCCCCGGCUAACUUCGUGCCAGCCGCCGCCGUAA